AACGAACGCUGGCGGCAUGCCUAACACAUGCAAGUCGAACGAGACCUUCGGGUCUAGUGGCGCACGGGUGCGUAACGCGUGGGAAUCUGCCCUUGGGACCGGAACAACAGUUAGAAAUGACUGCUAAUACCGGAUGAUGACGUAAGUCCAAAGAUUUAUCGCCCAAGGAUGAGCCCGCGUAGGAUUAGCUUGUUGGUGAGGUAAAGGCUCACCAAGGCGACGAUCCUUAGCUGGUCUGAGAGGAGGAUCAGCCACACUGGGACUGAGACACGGCCCAGACUCCUACGGGAGGCAGCAGUGGGGAAUAUUGGACAAUGGGCGAAAGCCUGAUCCAGCAAUGCCGCGUGAGUGAUGAAGGCCUUAGGGUUGUAAAGCUCUUUUACCCGGGAUGAUAAUGACAGUACCGGGAGAAUAAGCCCCGGCUAACUCCGUGCCAGCCGCCGCAGUAAGAC
rnacentral:rRNA from 1 species